AUUGAACGCUGGCGGCAUGCCUUACACAUGCAAGUCGAACGGCAGCACGGACUUCGGUCUGGUGGCGAGUGGCGAACGGGUGAGUAAUGCAUCGGAACGUGCCAUUGAGUGGGGGAUAACGUAGCGAAAGUUGCGCUAAUACCGCAUAUUCUGUGAGCAGGAAAGCAGGGGACCGCAAGGCCUUGCGCUCUUUGAGCGGCCGAUGUCAGAUUAGCUAGUUGGUGAGGUAAAGGCUUACCAAGGCGACGAUCUGUAGCGGGUCUGAGAGGAUGAUCCGCCACACUGGAACUGAGACACGGUCCAGACCCCUACGGGAGGCAGCAGUGGGGAAUUUUGGACAAUGGGGGCAACCCUGAUCCAGCCAUGCCGCGUGAGUGAAGAAGGCCUCGGUGUAAGACGUCUUUCGGUCCGGGAACGGAAAGUACGCAUGGGCCGAAGUAACCCUCGUGUGGAGUGACGGUACCGGAAGUAAGAAGAC
rnacentral:rRNA from 1 species